rnacentral:rRNA from 1 species
AGGACGAACGCUGGCGGCGUGCUUAACACAUGCAAGUCGAGCGGAAAGGCCCUUCGGGGUACUCGAGCGGCGAACGGGUGAGUAACACGUGAGCAACCUGCCCUUAGCUCCGGGAUAGCUCCGGGAAACCGGAAUUAAUACCGGAUACAACCACGGCCGACAUCUGCUGUGGUGGAAAGGAUUCCGGCUAAGGAUGGGCUCGCGGCCUAUCAGCUAGUUGGUGGAGUAACGGCCCACCAAGGCGACGACGGGUAGUCGGCCUGAGAGGGCGACCGGCCACACUGGGACUGAGACACGGCCCAGACUCCUACGGGAGGCAGCAGUGGGAAUAUUGCGCAAUGGGCGAAAGCCUGACGCAGCGACGCCGCGUGGGGAUGAAGGCCUUCGGGUUGUAAACCCCUUUCAGCAGGGACGAAGCGAAAGUGACGGUACCUGCAGAAGAAGCGCCGGCUAACUACGCGCCAGCAGCCGC